UGGGGAAUUUUGGACAAUGGGCGCAAGCCUGAUCCAGCAAUGCCGCGUGAGUGAAGAAGGCCUUCGGGUUGUAAAGCUCUUUUGUCAGGGAAGAAACGGUUGUUCCUAAUACGGAUGGCUAAUGACGGUACCUGAAGAAUAAGCACCGGCUAACUACGUGCCAGCAGCCGCGGUAAUACGUAGGGUGCAAGCGUUAAUCGGAAUUACUGGGCGUAAAGCGUGCGCAGGCGGUUAUAUAAGUCAGAUGUGAAAUCCCCGGGCUCAACCUGGGAACUGCAUUUGAGACUGUAUGGCUAGAGUGUGUCAGAGGGGGGUAGAAUUCCACGUGUAGCAGUGAAAUGCGUAGAUAUGUGGAGGAAUACCGAUGGCGAAGGCAGCCCCCUGGGAUAACACUGACGCUCAUGCACGAAAGCGUGGGGAGCAAACAGGAUUAGAUACCCUGGUAGUCCACGCCCUAAACGAUGUCUACUAGUUGUCGGGACUUAAUUGUCUUGGUAACGCAGCUAACGCGUGAAGUAGACCGCCUGGGGAGUACGGUCGCAAGAUUA
rnacentral:rRNA from 1 species